rnacentral:rRNA from 1 species
UGGGGAAUAUUGCACAAUGGGCGCAAGCCUGAUGCAGCCAUGCCGCGUGUGUGAAGAAGGCCUUCGGGUUGUAAAGCACUUUCAGCGAGGAGGAAGGUGGUGAGCUUAAUACGCUCAUCAAUUGACGUUACUCGCAGAAGGAGCACCGGCUAACUCCGUGCCAGCAGCCGCGGUAAUACGGAGGGUGCAAGCGUUAAUCGGAAUUACUGGGCGUAAAGCGCACGCAGGCGGUUUGUUAAGUCAGAUGUGAAAUCCCCGGGCUCAACCUGGGAACUGCAUUUGAAACUGGCAAGCUAGAGUCUCGUAGAGGGGGGUAGAAUUCCAGGUGUAGCGGUGAAAUGCGUAGAGAUCUGGAGGAAUACCGGUGGCGAAGGCGGCCCCCCUGGACGAAGACUGACGCUCAGGUGCGAAAGCGUGGGGCAGCAAACAGGAUUAGAUACCCUGGUAGUCCACGCUGUAAACGAUGUCGAUUUGGAGGUUGUGCCCUUGAGGCGUGGCUUCCGGAGCUAACGCGUUAAAUCGACCGCC